rnacentral:lncRNA from 1 species
UUAGUUCACCAUGGCCCUGCUUGCUGCGUUGUCCUCUCCAAAGAGAGAGAGAAAGAGAGAGAGCCUUCCUUGGUUGUUGUCCUUUUAAAGACUGAUUCUUGGAGUAAUAAACUACAAGUCCCAGAAUCCCUUUUCCUUCCCAAAAGUGGUUUAUCCCGCCCUCUUUCUCCUGAGAGUUCUGUCUUUACACAAGUCUUUCCCUUUGAUCUCUUCCCUCCAGCCAUACUGCAACUUUGUGAAAGACCAGUUGAUUAGGUUUCUUGGUAGAUUGGACUGCUUGGGAAAACACACACUUCCAUGGUUACACCUAGAUGUCUAUUACUCUGAUCUCCUGAUAACAUACAAGGAAUACUGGAGGGAUGUAAGCUUUUGUUUUAGCUGGGUGUUGUAAAAUGCAACUGAAAGCUUUGAUCCUUAUCACACUGUUAUCAAGUAAAUGACCCCAACUUGUGAAACCAGUCACAUACACAGAAAGUUAUAUACAAUAUUGCAGUCUGGAAUAUCAAUUUCUUACACUCUG